rnacentral:pre_miRNA from 1 species
UCAAAACUAGCCACUUGUUCUUUUUUAAUUGGUUCUUAGUGUGUAAAAAUAUUCUAAGAACCAAUUAGAAAAUGACAAAUGACUAAUAUUGC